rnacentral:rRNA from 1 species
AUUGAACGCUGGCGGCAGGCCUAACACAUGCAAGUCGAGCGGAUGAAGGGAGCUUGCUCCUGGAUUCAGCGGCGGACGGGUGAGUAAUGCCUAGGAAUCUGCCUGGUAGUGGGGGAUAACGUCCGGAAACGGGCGCUAAUACCGCAUACGUCCUGAGGGAGAAAGUGGGGGAUCUUCGGACCUCACGCUAUCAGAUGAGCCUAGGUCGGAUUAGCUAGUUGGUGGGGUAAAGGCCUACCAAGGCGACGAUCCGUAACUGGUCCGAGAGGAUGAUCAGUCACACUGGAACUGAGACACGGUCCAGACUCCUACGGGAGGCCGCAGUGGGGAAUAUUGGACAAAGGGCGAAAGCCUGAUCCAGCCAUGCCGCGUGUGUGAAGAAGGUCUUCGGAUUGUAAAGCACUUUAAGUUGGGAGGAAGGGCAGUAAGUUAAUACCUUGCUGUUUUGACGUUACCAACAGAAUAAGCACCGGCUAACUUCGUG